UACGAGGGGGCAAGCGUUGUUCGGAAUUAUUGGGCGUAAAAGGGGUGCGUAGGCGGUCUGACAAGUCUGAUGUGAAAUCUAUGGGCUCAACCCAUAGUCUGCAUCGGAAACUGUCGGGCUUGAGUAUGGGAGAGGUGACUGGAAUUCCUGGUGUAGCGGUGAAAUGCGCAGAUAUCAGGAGGAACACCGAUGGCGAAGGCAGUGGCUGGGCCGGCACUGACGCUGAGGAGCGAAAGCGUGGGGAGCGAACAGG
rnacentral:rRNA from 1 species